CACCUUUGAUCUGAGAGGCAGCGAGCCGAGUGGAUACCACAUUUCGAACUUAGUUUUUUUUAAAGAUAGAGUUCUGUGUGAGUAUCGGGCCAAUCCUGUGUGGGUGAUCCUUAAAGUUCUGUUCCUCUCUCCUCCUUUCAUCCCUCCCCCCUCCCCAUCUGUCUCUCUCUGUAUGAAGGUGACCUUGUUGUCUCUGCUCGUCCAUCGAUUUCUGCACUCCGAGGACCCGGGGACUCCCUCCCACUCAUUUCCGGAAGAGAGAUGGAGGGAUGGAGGGAAGAAAGGGUGGAUAUGCAAGGGAGCAUACGGCAGUGCAUAGGUGCACAAG
rnacentral:lncRNA from 1 species